AUAGUGAAUAUAUUAACUAUAUUGGGUUGUUUCUAUAUUUGUAUGUUCAUUUAUUUUAUUAUUUAUAUGCCAAAACUGAAAGCAGCGGAAACAAUUAGAAAUACGAUUCUAAAUCAAGAGUGGAAUGUUAAUAAUAAACAGUAUCUAGACGAGGACAUAUUUAUCGAUAAAGUAGAGUAUAUCAGUCAAGAAGAAAGUUUUGACUAUAUACGUCCUAUAAUUGUCAUUUCUUUGUUGACGACGUUAAUCGUAAAACUAUUUGAGUAA
rnacentral:lncRNA from 1 species